UAUUGGAGGCCUGGUUGUUUG
ensembl:piRNA 21ur-10414 ncRNA